rnacentral:lncRNA from 1 species
GGGCAGGGCUGCUGGGCUGAAGCGGGAGCUGAGCUCCUGUGCCCGAGGGCGGGCCGGCCCGGGCGGUGUAGGCGUUCCUGUAAGGGGCGAGCGCUGCCUGCCCUGCGAGCCUGCCCCUUCCAGCCCCGUCAGCCUCCGCCGCAACUGGCGCGGCUGAAUCAAAAUUGGGAAGCUUUGUAAAAUAGGUUGAAGGCAAGACACGGUUGUUUGGAUUUUUCUGUGUUGAAGGAGGACUUACGGGUCUGUGAGAUAUUUCUUCCCUUAGGCAACAGUCGGAUGUUGUGAUCCCAUUUUCUAAUAUCUUCCAUAUAUUCUCUCCUUUUUUCCCUGUCCGCCUCCCGAAACACACAGCGCUGCAACACGUGAUAUUUGAAAGAUAGUAUGUGUGUAUUUCUACCAGCAUUCCUUGACUCUGUGACCAACAUGUAAUUUUCUGCACCAGAAGACAAGAAGGACACAGCAGUUGUUAAGAAAUAAGCCAUGUCUGUUGCAGCUGAUAUAACUGUGGGGGACCUGCCUGUGAGACAUACAGGUCUAACUCCAGCUGGAAUUGAAGGAUUACAAGAAUCAUCAACUGCACAGAAUAAAAGCUCAACAAGCCAGGUAACAAACCAGUCAAGAAGAACUGGAGGACAGGUUUCUUCAUGUUCAUGAUGGUCACAUCUUACUCAAGCAGCAUGCAAAUGAACAAGAGGAGAAAACUAAAAGCAUUCCUUGCCAAAAGCCUUUUAACUAGAAGUUUGGAAUGAAUUUGCAGUAGAAGAACAUUGAAAAAACUCCAUGUAAACAAAAAACCUGCUUACAGGCAAGUAACAUUCUGUGACAUCCUGAAGUUAUUAGGGUUUUUUUUUUUUUUGUUUCACUUUUGUUCUUUUAAGUAGAAGCUUCUGUCCACAAGUAUACAAAAAUAAAACAAGUCCCUUCAAACA